rnacentral:rRNA from 1 species
GAUGAACGCUGGCGGCGUGCUUAACACAUGCGAGUCGAACGGAAAGGCCCAAGCUUGCUUGGGUACUCGAGUGGCGAACGGGUGAGUAACACGUGGGUGAUCUGCCCUGCACUUCGGGAUAAGCCUGGGAAACUGGGUCUAAUACCGGAUAGGACCACUUCUUGGAUGUUGUGGUGGAAAGUUUUUUCGGUGUGGGAUGAGCUCGCGGCCUAUCAGCUUGUUGGUGGGGUAAUGGCCUACCAAGGCGUCGACGGGUAGCCGGCCUGAGAGGGUGUACGGCCACAUUGGGACUGAGAUACGGCCCAGACUCCUACGGGAGGCAGCAGUGGGGAAUAUUGCACAAUGGGCGCAAGCCUGAUGCAGCGACGCCGCGUGGGGGAUGACGGCCUUCGGGUUGUAAACUCCUUUCGCUAGGGACGAAGCGUUUUGUGACGGUACCUGGAGAAGAAGCACCGGCUAACUACGUG